rnacentral:rRNA from 1 species
UACAGAGGGGGCAAGCGUUGUUCGGAAUUACUGGGCGUAAAGGGCGCGUAGGCGGCCUGUUAAGUCGAACGUGAAAUCCCCGAGCUCAACUCGGGAACUGCGUCCGAUACUGGCGGGCUUGAAUCCGGGAGAGGGAUGCGGAAUUCCAGGUGUAGCGGUGAAAUGCGUAGAUAUCUGGAGGAACACCGGUGGCGAAGGCGGCAUCCUGGACCGACAUUGACGCUGAACGGCGAAAGCUAGGGGAGCAAACGGG